UACGUAGGGGGCUAGCGUUGUCCGGAAUCAUUGGGCGUAAAGCGCGUGUAGGCGGCCUUGUAAGUCCGUUCUGAAAGCCCGGGGCUCAACCCCGGGAGGCGGAUGGAUACUGCAAGGCUCGAGUCCGGAAGAGGCGAGUGGAAUUCCCGGUGUAGCGGUGAAAUGCGCAGAUAUCGGGAGGAACACCAAUGGCGAAGGCAGCUCGCUGGGACGGUACUGACGCUGAGACGCGAAAGCGUGGGGAGCGAACAGG
rnacentral:rRNA from 1 species